CAAAUUGCCAUAUCCAGGAAAAAUUGACGAUGACUUCGGAAGAGCGGCAAACAUUGAGCCACUAUUUGACGAUAUACAACAAGGACUAUGUGAAAAGGAAAAUCAACAGGAUUAAGAAGGGUGGCACAAGUCAAGAGUUCAAAGACCCGGUCUGUGAAGGCUUUAGAAAUUUUCUAGAGUUAGACAAAGACGAUUCAAUUCAGCCUCCAAAUGAAGCAGGGGAAGAUUAUCUCGAGAAGAUGAAGCAAGAAAAACCAAAGAUUGCUCAGAUGUUUUUUCAAAACCCUUUGGAUCGACUGACAAUUAAAGGAGAUCAGAUUCUGAAUGGC